GAUGAACGCUGGCGGCGUGCCUAAUACAUGCAAGUCGAGCGAACGGACGAGAAGCUUGCUUUUCUGAUGUUAGCGGCGGACGGGUGAGUAACACGUGGAUAACCUACCUAUAAGACUGGGAUAACUUCGGGAAACCGGAGCUAAUACCGGAUAAUAUUUUGAACCGCAUGGUUCAAAAGUGAAAGACGGUCUUGCUGUCACUUAUAGAUGGAUCCGCGCUGCAUUAGCUAGUUGGUAAGGUAACGGCUUACCAAGGCAACGAUGCAUAGCCGACCUGAGAGGGUGGUCGGCCACACUGGAACUGAGACACGGUCCAGACUCCUACGGGAGGCAGCAGUAGGGAAUCUGCCGCAAUGGGCGAAAGCCUGACGGAGCAACGCCGCGUGAGUGAUGAAGGUCUUCGGAUCGUAAAACUCUGUUAUUAGGGAAGAACAGAUGUGUAAGGAACUGUGCACAGCGUGACGGUACCUAAUCAGAAAGCCACGGCUAACUACGUG
rnacentral:rRNA from 1 species